rnacentral:rRNA from 1 species
GACGAACGCUGGCGGCGUGCUUAACACAUGCAAGUCGAACGGAAAGGCCCUGCUUUUGUGCGGUGCUCGAGUGGCGAACGGGUGAGUAACACAUGAGUAACCUGCCCUUGACUUUGGGAUAACUUCAGGAAACUGGGGCUAAUACCGGAUAUGACCUCCUGCUGCAUGGUGGGGGUUGGCGAGUUUCGGCGGUUGGGGUUGGACUCGCGGCUUCUCAGCUUGUUUGUGGGGUAGUGGCUUACCAAGGCUUUGACGGGUAGCCGGCCUGAGAGGGUUACCGGCCACAUUGGUACUGAGAUACGGCCCAGAAUCCAACGGGAGGCAGCAGUGGGGAAUAUUGCACAAUGGGGGGAAGACAGAUGCAGCAACGUCGCGUGCGGGAUGACGGCCUUCGGGUUGUAAACCGCUUUCGCCUGUGACGAAGCGUGAGUGACGGUAAUGGGUAAAGAAGCACCGGCUAACUACGUG